CCUACGGGAGGCAGCAGUGAGGAAUAUUGGUCAAUGGACGAGAGUCUGAACCAGCCAAGUAGCGUGAAGGAUGACUGCCCUAUGGGUUGUAAACUUCUUUUAUAAAGGAAUAAAACGAGGCACGUGUGCCUUUUUGCAUGUACUUUAUGAAUAAGGAGCGGCUAACUCCGUGCCAGCAGCCGCGGUAAUACGGAGGAUCCGAGCUUUAUCCGGAUUUAUUGGGUUUAAAGGGAGCGUAGAUGGGUUGUUAAGUCAGUUGUGAAAGUUUGCGGCUCAACCGUAAAAUUGCAAUUGAUACGGGCAGUCGUGAGUACAGUUGAGGGAGGCGGAAUUCGUGGUGUAGCGGUGAAAUGCUUAGAUAUCACGAAGAACCCCGAUUGCGAAGGCAGCUUACUAAACUGUGACUGACAUUGAUGCUCGAAAGUGUGGGUAUCAAACAGGAUUAGAUACCCGGGUAGUC
rnacentral:rRNA from 1 species